rnacentral:rRNA from 1 species
GAUCAUGGCGUCAGGGUGAACGCUAGCUACAGGCUUAACACAUGCAAGUCGAGGGGCAGCAUGAAGUUUGCUUGCAAACUUGAUGGCGACCGGCGCACGGGUGAGUAACGCGUAUCCAACCUUCCCUAUACUAGAGGAGUAGCCCGGCGAAAGUCGGAUUAAUACUCUAUGUUCUUCGUAGAAGACAUCUGAAAUGAAGCAAAGGUUUACCGGUAUAGGAUGGGGAUGCGUCUGAUUAGGUUGUUGGCGGGGUGACGGCCACCAAGCCUACGAUCAGUAGGGGUUCUGAGAGGAAGGUCCCCCACAUUGGAACUGAGACACGGUCCAAACUCCUACGGGAGGCAGCAGUGAGGAAUAUUGGUCAAUGGACGAGAGUCUGAACCAGCCAAGUAGCCGUGCAGGAUGACGGCCCUAUGGGUUGUAAACUGCUUUUAUACAGGGAUAAAGUGACGUACGUGUACGUUUUUGUAUGUACCCUAUGAAUAAGGACCGGCUAAUUCCGUGCCAGCCGCCGC